UGAAGUUGCUUAUGACUGAGCGGCGGACGGGUGAGUAACGCGUGGGUAACCUGCCUCAUACAGGGGGAUAACAGUUGGAAACGACUGCUAAUACCGCAUAAGCGCACAGUGCCGCAUGGCACGGUGUGAAAAGAUUCAUCGGUGUGAGAUGGACCCGCGUCUGAUUAGCCAGUUGGCAGGGUAACGGCCUACCAAAGCGACGAUCAGUAGCCGGCUUGAGAGAGUGACCGGCCACAUUGGAACUGAGACACGGUCCAAACUCC
rnacentral:rRNA from 1 species